rnacentral:rRNA from 1 species
GACGAACGCUGGCGGCGUGCCUAAUACAUGCAAGUCGAGCGAAUGGAUUAAGAGCUUGCUCUUAUGAAGUUAGCGGCGGACGGGUGAGUAACACGUGGGUAACCUGCCCAUAAGACUGGGAUAACUCCGGGAAACCGGGGCUAAUACCGGAUAACAUUUUGAACCGCAUGGUUCGAAAUUGAAAGGCGGCUUCGGCUGUCAAUUAUGGAUGGACCCGCGUCGCAUAAGCUCGUUGGUGAGGUAACGGCUCACCAAGGCAACGAUGCGUAGCCGACCUGAGAGGGUGAUCGGCCACACUGGGACUGAGACACGGCCCAGACUCCUACGGGAGGCAGCAGUAGGGAAUCUUCCGCAAUGGACGAAAGUCUGACGGAGCAACGCCGCGUGAGUGAUGAAGGCUUUCGGGUCGUAAAACUCUGUUGUUAGGGAAGAACAAGUGCUAGUUGAAUAAGCUGGCACCUUGACGGUACCUAGCCAGAAAGCCACGGCUAACUACGUGCCAGCCGCCGCAGUAA